rnacentral:tRNA from 1 species
GCGAUCGUAGCUCAGAUGGUUAGAGCGCCGGCCUGUCACGCUGGAGGUCGUGGGUUCAAGUCCCAUCGGUCGCGCCA